rnacentral:rRNA from 1 species
UACGUAGGGUGCGAGCGUUAAUCGGAAUUACUGGGCGUAAAGCGUGCGCAGGCGGUUUUUUAAGCCAGAUGUGAAAUCCCCGGGCUUAACCUGGGAAUGGCAUUUGGGACUGCAAGGCUAGAGUGUGGCAGAGGAGACUGGAAUUCCUGGUGUAGCAGUGAAAUGCGUAGAUAUCAGGAGGAAUACCGAUGGCGAAGGCAGGUCUCUGGGCUAACACUGACGCUCAUGCACGAAAGCGUGGGGAGCAAACAGG